UACGUAGGGUGCGAGCGUUAAUCGGAAUUACUGGGCGUAAAGCGUGCGCAGGCGGUUUUGUAAGCCAGAUGUGAAAUCCCCGGGCUUAACCUGGGAAUGGCAUUUGGGACUGCAAGGCUUGAGUGCGGCAGAGGAGACUGGAAUUCCUGGUGUAGCAGUGAAAUGCGUAGAUAUCGUAAGGAAGACCAGUGGCGAAGGCGAGUCUCUGGACAGUUACUGACGCUGAGGCACGAAGGCCAGGGGAGCAAACGGG
rnacentral:rRNA from 1 species